UUUCUUCUAACCUUAUCUCAUCCAAGCCUAAGGUUUCUCUUCAGCCUCCCAUUCGCCUCCAUCUCUAUUCUCGGUCUCAACUCUGAACUUGCCCCCUCUCCUUCUCUCUGCAACUCCCCAAUCGCCUCCAUCUCUAUUCUCGUUCUCAACCUAUUGCACCUUGCACCACAGCCACCACCAUCACUCCACCCCAUAUCCUCACACCACCACUGAAGCCAACCCCUCUCUUUUUGUUCGAGCUCUCUGCUAUGGGUAUUUCGGCGAGAUCUCUGGCCAAACCUCGGCCUCUCGCUCUCGAUCUCAUCUCUUCUCCAUCGGCUUCGUCUCCGGCCGACCUUCGGCCAAGGAGAUAACAUUCUCAUCUUGCUGCCAUCCACCGCUACAAUUUUCGGUCAUCUUCUCCGGCGAAUCUCAGGCCGUCAUCUCAUCGUUCUCGGGCACUGUGAGACAGUGAGAGCAGAGACUGGCAAGUUAUAGGCACCUUGGGAGUGACUGCACUUGGAUGGAGCACUUGGUCAGAUAUCUAAUUUCUUGGAUGUUCUAAAUUUCUAAUAGUGUGUGUGUGUGUUUUCUUUUUUCUUUUUCAGUUGUAAUUUUACAUUAUUCAAAGCACGUAGAUCUUAUAAUUAGCUCAAAAGAGGGAUUUUAUGUAUAUUUAGACAGCGUACUAUAAACUGACAUAAAAAGGUAGAUACAUAAAGCCUGAAGGCUCACACACUGGUGCUAAAAAUUUAUGCCCUUGAACACUAUCAUUUCUGUGCUAUACAGAUUGCUAAAUUUUUUGAAAUUCUUUUCAGUCCACAAGUUCUAAACAGAAUAAGCUCAUGCCAGAAAUGCUAUAUUUUCAAAAGGGCAAGAAAGGUCACUACACCAUAUUAGGGUUUUACCAGCGCUCUUUUAAAGAGCAUUGGUAUAGGUGCAAUCGUACCAGUGCUUUUUUAAAAACCUAUUACAUAAUCAAAACCCAAAUCUUUUAGUUUUCAUCGCCCGCUGUUCCAGUUCGGGUUCGCUGUUCGCAAGCUUCAGCCACUGUCUCUCAACCCUCAAGCUUGCCCCCUUCUCUCUUUACAACUGCUAACUUGUAUGUAUGGGUUUUGUUUUUUUUUUUUUUUUUGUUUUUUUGUUUUUUUCUAAAUCAAUUAAUCACUGGCUUGUUGUGAUGGAAAAACAUGAGGAGGACGACACUUCCAGGGACCAGAUCAUCGAUAGUUACAUCAAAACCCUAGAGUGAAUGCUCCGCAGUAUCGGAUGUUGCCGACGCAGACAAAUUUGAAUAUGCUUCCACUUCCUUCCAAUAUGACGGAAAAGGUUCUUCCAGUUGCAGCAACACAGUCAAAGACUAGUGGGGAAAACUAUAGCCGUCUCAAAUUGAACCAAAUUCGACAUUCUGGUGAAGAAAGCCGCGCUUCUGUAAAUUAGCAGUUUGAUGAAGAAUUAAUGGCCAACUGAGAGUUGAUUGUGCAUGUGGAAAAUUAAAAUGUUAUGUUUCUUAUGCAUUGUGAUAAAAUGUUUUGUUUCUUGUGCUGAUAUGCUUGAGACAUUUAUAAUGAAAUUUUGAUUCUUCUGUUGCCAGUUGCUGUUAUAUGUAAAAGCAUUUUCUUAUCAAGUUUCAGAUUUUUUGGUUGUAAUUUUAUUUUUUCCCCCUUUCAUGUUACAAUUUCUUCGGAGGUGAAGGUUUCAAAUUGAGGUCAUUGGUUACUUAGGAAGGUUUGAACACUAGAUCAAGUCCAUUAGUGAUCAAAGGGAUCUGCAUUUUUCUUAUAGUGUUUAGAGGUUUCAAGAAUCUCGUAGCUUAUGUGGUACACUAGUACUGUAUUUUGCUAUCAUUUGUUUGAAAGAAGGAUAGACCAUUAAAUUGAAUGCGACUAAUUUUAGACCUUUGAUUUAUUUGCUGCACCUUUUUUAUUAUUUUUUUAUUUUUUUAUUUUUUCUCUCUAAUUGCACGUUUUCUUGCAGCAACACUAUGUUAUUCCUAAUUUUGUGCACAGGUGAAUGAUGGGAGGACCAUCGAUCCAUCUGAGCUGGAAGAGAAGUUGACCGACUUAAUCAUCCGGACUUCAAGUUAGAUCCCCUUUUAAUUUUUGUUUCUCUGAUGUUUUUGUUUUCAAACUAGAAUGGGGCUUUGAGUUGGAUUUUGAAGUGUGAACUUGUGGUGCUUGUGGGAGCUACUUUCUACUCUAGGGAAGUUUGUUGUCUAUAUAUUUGAAUGAUAAAUAAUAAGCUGACAAUGAAACGAACGGUUAGUGAAGUCGAAAAAGUGAGUGAACAAAAUACCGAAACUUCAACUUCAAAAUCAUCCCAACCACCUCCGCAGAUUUAUUCAUUCGCACACAUAUAAAUAAGGAUGGUAAUGCUACUGAUGUUGCUGCUUCGGAGAUGAUUGUUCCUUAUGUGAACUAGUACUGAAAACAUAGCAAAGGAAAUGUCUCUCUACUAUAAUGAAUCUGCUAUUGAGGAAUGAUGCAUAGGUAUAGAUGUUUAUGAUGCAUAGAAGAUAUAGAUGUUGAGUCCAUUUUCUAGUCAUGAUGCCAAUUCAAUUAAGGGUAAUUCAAAUCAAAUGGGCAAGAAGACUUGUUGAAGUUGAAGCUGAAGAUGGGGUCGUGACUGUGCUUUCUGAAUUUCUUUCCCCUUGGAUGGGUCCUUUUUGAAAAACUUGUACUACAUUUGUCAAAAAUUCUUAAUUCUUUUUGUGUGACAUUUUAGUAGCUUUAUCUAGACAAUUUGGAUGGUAUUUUCAUAUUGGCAGGUUAACUUGUGGUUGUAUUAGUAUACAUUUUGGCUUUUUGGUUGACAUUUACCAGCUUUAUCAAUUAGUAGCCAAUUUCAAUGGUAUUUUUCAUAUUGGCAGCAGGUUAACUUGUGGUUGUAUUAUGUAAAAACAAUUUGGAUGGUAUUUUUAUAUUGAUUUGUGUUAUAUUGGAUGA